rnacentral:rRNA from 1 species
AGUGAACGCUGGCGGCAGGCCUAAUACAUGCAAGUCGAACGAAGUCUUCGGACUUAGUGGCGCACGGGUGAGUAACACGUGGGAAUAUACCUUUCGCUGGGGGAUAACAUCGGGAAACUGAUGCUAAUACCGCAUACGCCCUACGGGGGAAAGAUUUAUCGGCGAGAGAUUAGCCCGCGUCCGAUUAGGUAGUUGGUGAGGUAACGGCUCACCAAGCCUGCGAUCGGUAGCUGGUCUGAGAGGAUGAUCAGCCACACUGGGACUGAGACACGGCCCAGACUCCUACGGGAGGCAGCAGUGGGGAAUAUUGGACAAUGGGCGCAAGCCUGAUCCAGCCAUGCCGCGUGAGUGAUGAAGGCCUUAGGGUUGUAAAGCUCUUUCGACGGGGACGAUGAUGACGGUACCCGUAGAAGAAGCCCCGGCUAACUUCGUGCCAGCAGCCGCCGUAAGAC